rnacentral:rRNA from 1 species
CCCUUAGAUGUUCUGGGCUGCACGCGCGCUACACUGAUGCGAUCAACGAGUAUCUCACCUUCUCCGAUAGGAGCGGGUAAUCUUUUGAAAUCGCAUCGUGAUGGGGAUAGAUUAUUGCAAUUAUUAAUCUUCAACGAGGAAUUCCUAGUAAGUGCGAAUCAUCAGUUCGCGCUGAUUACGUCCCUGCCCUUUGUACACACCGCCCGUCGCUCCUACCGAUUGGUCGUUCCGGUGAAUAAUUCGGACCGAGGCCUUGCAGGGUCAACCUGCUCGGCUUUGGAAAGUCUAGUAAACCUUAACGACUAGAGGAAGGAGAAGUCGUAACA